rnacentral:tRNA from 1 species
GCCCCCGUAGCCCAAUUGGCAGAGGCAGGCGACUUAAAAUCGCUGUGUUGUGGGUUCGAGUCCCACCGGGGGCACCA